rnacentral:rRNA from 1 species
GAUGAACGCUGGCGGCGUGCCUAAUACAUGCAAGUCGAGCGAACAGAUGAGGAGCUUGCUCCUCUGACGUUAGCGGCGGACGGGUGAGUAACACGUGGAUAACCUACCUAUAAGACUGGGAUAACUUCGGGAAACCGGAGCUAAUACCGGAUAAUAUAUUGAACCGCAUGGUUCAAUAGUGAAAGACGGUUUUGCUGUCACUUAUAGAUGGAUCCGCGCCGCAUUAGCUAGUUGGUAAGGUAACGGCUUACCAAGGCAACGAUGCGUAGCCGACCUGAGAGGGGGGUGAGGCCCACGAGAACUGGGACAGGGUCCAGACUCCUACGGGAGGGCGGAGUGGGGAAUAUUGGACAAGGGGCGAAACCCGGAUCGAGCCAUGCCGAGUGUGGGAAGAAGGUCUUCGGAUUUUAAAGCACUUUAAGUGGGGAGAAAGGGAAGUAAGUUAAUACCUUGCUGUUGUGACGGGACCAACAGAAUAAGCACCGGCUAACUUCGUG